rnacentral:lncRNA from 1 species
GGAUCCAAACUUCUUUGGGGACCCUCUCUAAGGCAUAGGAGGACGAGGUCACAGCAUUCUUACUAACAAAGGGGCAACAAGCAACAGAAAAACGUAGUGACCACGGUGGACCAAUUGUAUCGAUUAACAAAAUGCAUCAUGGCAGGUUUAUAUGCGUAUCUUUUUGCCCUUAUAAAUCAACUGCAUAGAUAAAGAGAAUAAGAGUGCCAUGGCUGAAGUACUUGAUAUUAUUUCUUAUCAUCUACCAUCUCAUAUAUUUCUCUCUUAUUUCUAUCUAUCUCUGUCAUGGUGUUAAUGAUUUCAAGUUUGAUCUAUUUUCCGUCUACCUAAUGUAGUUCGCAGGUUGUAACAGAUUAUUAGGCUUCUCUGAUCUUUUUUUCAUUUAACAUAACCAUGUAAAAAUAUAAAACAAGUGGUCAAUAACUUAUUAAGGGCAACAUGGUCUUCUGCCCUUCGUAAUUCUCACCCUUGUUACUGUAAUAAAGUUGAGGACACUUCCGAAGUUUCAUUUUGUCUGCAUUUUUAUGCAGAAAAUAAUUAUUUUAUGGAGAAAAUAUUAAAUAAGAAUGUUUUCUGUGGAAAUCUUUUAGAACACUUCAUGAUGGAAUGAUUUACAAAUCUAUAAGAUCCCCCCCUUCCCCUCUCUCUCUCUC